CACACACACACACACACACACACACACACACACAAAUAAAAUCUGAUUUCAAAUGGGCUGUGGUCAGAAGAUCCCACAUCUAAAGGGGCAGAGCAUUAGGUAAUCAUGCAGAGCUCAGCCUUCUUCAGAGUAGUGUGCAGGCUUAACAGGAGGGUGGAGUUGUGUGCUAAACCAAUGGGCUUCGUCAAUGCAUCCUUUGUAUGUUACCCCCGCCAUUUCUUCCUCUCUGUAAACUGCUGUCUGCUACAAAACGGGACCACACAUUUGAAAAAAUAUUAAUAUAUUAACCAGUGGUAUACUUUCUAUGCUGUUACUUCCUGAAAUAUAAAAGUGGACACACGUUUAAAGUAUUGGUAUUUCUUUUUUGGUUUAAACAAAAGCAGUCCAUAUGCAAAACCACCACCAUCAGGAGCCAACAAGAACCUCGAUCCACAGAAAGAGGGGCUUAGGGCACAGGGCUGUGCUCCUGUGGAAUUGCAUCUACAUUGCCAGCCUGUACCCUGAGUGACAGAUGGAUGCAGAGAAAUGAAAAGGCUGUAUCUUCCCUCUAAGACAAGAAUAAUAGUGUGCAUGCACAAAGUAGAAUGUCAGGGAUAUACUUAGUGAAUCAGAGAAGCAGAUAGGGUGCAGUCAAGAAGAAAGUGUUGGCCUUCUUGACUGUUUCCAUAGUUUAAUCAGUGGUAACCAGAGUCUGUAAAUAGAUCCUCUUUGUCCUGGCCUCUCCCAUCACCCACAGCUCUCUACCAUUCUUAAAGGUCUGGUGAUUUUUAAAAUAAAGGGGUAGAGACAAGGUGAUGGAAGUUAGAUUGUAAGAGGUAAGUUUUUCAGUUUUAAAAUUUUAAAUUCAGUCUUAAAAUUUAUGGAGGAAAGGUAAUAAGGAAAUGGAAGAAAAUGGUUAGAUCCUACAAAACAAAAUAUUCCAUUGGGAUUGUAAAAUGUAAUUUUAAAAUUCUGAGUAUUCAGUGUCUAUAUCAGGUAUGCAUUGCCAUUUCAAAGUAGUCUCCUAGAAUCCUCACAAAGCCACAGGAGGUAUCAGGUAGUGAACUGAAGCUUCAAGAGACUAACUGUUUGCUUGGACCAAGCAGCAAGUGGCCCAGUGAAGCCCAGUGUUCACAAAUCACAGCAGUGACAUUUCAGCCAUUUCGAGUGGAUAAACUGGAAAAAUCACAGAAGUGGAGAGCAGA